rnacentral:rRNA from 1 species
ACAAGUCGGAGGGAAGGUGGGGAUGACGUCAAAUCAUCAUGCCCCUUAUGACCUGGGCUACACACGUGCUACAAUGGGCGGUACAAAGGGCUGCGAACCCGCGAGGGGGAGCGAAUCCCAAAAAGCCGCUCUCAGUUCGGAUUGCAGGCUGCAACUCGCCUGCAUGAAGCCGGAAUCGCUAGUAAUCGCGGAUCAGCAUGCCGCGGUGAAUACGUUCCCGGGCCUU